AGUUUGAUCAUGGCUCAGAACGUACGCUGGCGGCACGCCUAACACAUGCAAGUCGAACGAAGUAGCAAUACUUAGUGGCAGACGGGUGAGUAACAUGUAGGUAUCUGCCCUUUGGCCUGGAAUAACACGAGGAAACUUGUGCUAAUACCGGAUAAGUCUUUACGGAGAAAGCUUUAUGCACCAUUGGAUGAGCCUGCACUUGAUUAGUUUGUUGGUGGGGUAAUGGCCUACCAAGACUGUGAUCAAUAGCUGAUUUGAGAGGAUGAUCAGCCACAUUGGGACUGAGACACGGCCCAAACUCCUACGGGAGGCAGCAGUGGGGAAUCUUGCACAAUGGAGGAAACUCUGAUGCAGCGAUGCCGCGUGAGUGAAGAAGGCCUUUGGGUUGUAAAGCUCUUUCGUCGGGGAAGAAAAUGACUGUACCCGAAUAAGAAGGUCCGGCUAACUUCGUGCCAGCAGCCGCGGUAAUACGAAGGGACCUAGCGUAGUUCGGAAUUACUGGGCUUAAAGAGUUCGUAGGUGGUUGAAAAAGUUGGUGGUGAAAUCCCAGAGCUUAACUCUGGAACUGCCAUCAAAACUUUUCAGCUAGAGUAUGAUAGAGGAAAGCAGAAUUUCUAGUGUAGAGGUGAAAUUCGUAGAUAUUAGAAAGAAUACCAAUUGCGAAGGCAGCUUUCUGGAUCAUUACUGACACUGAGGAACGAAAGCAUGGGUAGCGAAGAGGAUUAGAUACCCUCGUAGUCCAUGCCGUAAACGAUGUGUGUUAGACGUUGGAAAUUUAUUUUCAGUGUCGCAGCGAAAGCGAUAAACACACCGCCUGGGGAGUACGACCGCAAGGUUAAAACUCAAAUGAAUUGACGGGGACCCGCACAAGUAGUGGAGCAUGUGGUU
rnacentral:rRNA from 1 species